AGUGCGUGCCUUGGCAUAAAAAUUUGGAGAAAUUGUAAUUUCGCAACUAUUUUAAAAUUUGUGACAUUUAAAUGAGCACAGACGUACAUUGUGUUUCAGACUUCACCCUUUAUUUCUGCAGGUACCAAUCACAGCGAAACACAAUUUCAAACAGAGCAUGUUUAAUCCAGGGCUUUGGACGGGGUGGCUAUGUUCUCUCUAUGUUCUCACUAUCAGCUUGAUCAGCCAGCACUCCAGCUGCAUUAGAGUGUGCAUGGGCACACCCUGUGAGCACAUCUAUUGUUGAAUGUUUCUAGUUCA